rnacentral:rRNA from 1 species
GAUGAACGCUGGCGGCGUGCCUAAUACAUGCAAGUCGAACGAGAAGUGAAGACGGUAACUCUCGGGCGGAAGGCUUUAUUUGGAGGGGCGGCCGGGGGAGUAACGCGUGGGUAACCUGCCUCAUAUAGGGGAAUAACAGUUGGAAACGACUGUUAAUAUUGCAUCAGACCACAGCAUCGCAUGGUGCGGGUGUAAAAACUCCGGUGGUAUGAGAUGGACCCGCGUUCGAUUAUACGGUUGGCGCGGUAAAGGCCCACCAAAGCGAGGAUGGGUAGCCGGUCUGAGAGAAUGGCCCGACACACUGGGGGUGGGACACGGCCCGAACUCCUACGGAAGGCAGGAGUGGGGAAUGUUGCACAAUGGGGGAAACCAUGAUGCAGCCAGGCCGCGAAAGUGAAGUAGUAGUGCAGUAUGUAAAGCUCAAUCAACAGGGAAGAAAAUGACGGUACCUGAGUAGAAAGCCACGGCUAACUACGUG